rnacentral:rRNA from 1 species
GACAGAGGGUGCAAACGUUGCUCGGAAUCACUGGGCGUAAAGGGCGUGUAGGCGGGAAGGAAAGUCAGAUGUGAAAUCCCUGGGCUCAACCCAGGAACUGCAUUUGAAACUCCCUUUCUUGAGUACCGGAGAGGAAGGUGGAAUACCUGGUGUAGAGGUGAAAUUCGUAGAUAUCAGGUGGAACACCAGUGGCGAAGGCGGCCUUCUGGACGGUAACUGACGCUGAGACGCGAAAGCGUAGGGAGCAAACAGG